GGAGGGAUGGCUGAGUGGUUGAAAGCGCUGGUCUUGAAAACCAGUGGGCGUGCAAGCGUCCCCAGGGUUCGAAUCCCUGUCCCUCCGCCA
rnacentral:tRNA from 1 species